UACGUAGGGCGCAAGCGUUGUCCGGAAUUAUUGGGCGUAAAGAGCUCGUAGGCGGUUUGUCGCGUCUGCUGUGAAAACCCGAGGCUCAACCUCGGGCCUGCAGUGGGUACGGGCAGACUAGAGUGCGGUAGGGGAGAUUGGAAUUCCUGGUGUAGCGGUGGAGUGCGCAGAUAUCAGGAGGAACACCAAUGGCGAAGGCAGAUCUCUGGGCCGUAACUGACGCUGAGGAGCGAAAGCAUGGGGAGCGAACAGG
rnacentral:rRNA from 1 species